UGAGAGUCAAAGAGCUAUCGUGAAACACCAGUCAUAAAGAUUAUAAAAGCAGGAAUGUGAAAAGAACAUUAAUGGAUGAAGUAAGCAAUGAAUACCAAGAGCUAUGCACAUUAAGUCUACACAGAUAGGCAUAUUUCACUUUUUCUGACCCUGUUACUUUUACCUCGCAUUCUUAGUCUAAAAUAUAGGUAAAUCUUAAAUAUAGGUAAAAUCUUAUUUUAGUAAUGGUAUGCAGCAGUAAGCCAUAUCACAUCAGUGUCCGAAGGGACAUUGAUGUGUGACCAAUCCCUCUUUGUAGCUGACCAGACUUCAGCAAUCCUAUCUUGGGAUCCUAGGACAGAAUAGACUAGUGUGACCUUUGCAUAACUGAUUGCCCUGUCUACAACAAGGACUGGUCAGACUGAAAAUGCCCUGCUUGCCUGCCUCAUUGAUUAGUAUGCAGUGGCAGUACAGUGCUAUAUUAUUCCUCCCAGAGGCCAGAGAAAGACCUACCAAUAUUGCCAAGAUUAGCCUCUGUAGACAUGACCUCCUUAUAUUGGUGGAAUGUCCUGCCCUAUAUUGACCCCUUCCCCAUCAAUGGCAGAAAUGUUAGAAUUUUGACCACCCCGCCAAACACUGUGGCUCCACAGCCAGCUGCUCUCUGUUCCCAACCUGGUCAUGACUGUUCAGAUUGCUCUGCUCAUUCAUGCAGAUGUGCCAAUUGUGGUGAUUCCCAUAAUAUAUUUUAUAGGAGCUGCCCUGCCUACAAGCUUGAAUCUGAGGUAGCAGUUCUCAGAUUUAAACUAUGCCUCAUUCUAUGUGAGGCCAGACAAGAAGCACACAAUAGAGGGUUUUUCUCUCUACUUAUUCCAAGACUGUUCUUCACUCCACUCCCCUCCCAUCUUCUCAAGAUGUCUCAGCAUCUCUCCUAAUAUCUUUUCCCCCACCUGAACCAUCCUACAUGUGCUCCCUCUCAUCCCCAGUCAAAUUCCUUUUACUGUCAAAAUCCUGAUAUUCCAGUCUCUACUACUUCCCCAUUGCCUACCCCUCCUCCUUCUCACUUUACCUGUCACACCAGGCAAUCUAAACUUUCCACCCCAUCUUCUACCACAUCCUCUCCUUCACCCACCUCUCCCUCUGCUUCUUGGACACUUAUCCCCUCUUCUCCUCCUCAUAAGAAAACCUUUGUUUCUCAGACCUUCCCACCCAACUCCCCUCCAGAAACACUUGAAGACAACCAAAAUUUCCUAAACAUGAUCCAAGAGGAUGCUGUGCUCCCUCAUCCAUCCUCUGAUCUCUCUUUUCCUAUUCCCUUUCAAUUCAAAGUAAUGUCUGAUAUCUAUCCUCAUCCUCAUCAAGUUCCCCUACCCCUCUUCCUCCCAUUCUCUCCCAGCACACCUCAUCCUCCCCUUCUCCAUGUGCAUCUGAAUCCUCACAUGACUCCCUUAUGUUGCAACAAUGUUCUUCUCUGGAUCCUACACCCUCCUGACAUUCUUCCUGAUAUGUCACCACCUUCCCCUGUUCCCUUAUUGCAUUCCCUGGAUUUCUCUCUUACUUGCAAUUUUCCUCAUACAGUGUUCCUCUCCUUUCCUUAGACACAUAGUUCUUUCCAUUUGAUCUAAUGCCAUCAACCCCUUCCCUGCUGUAUUCCAUUUGCUCUUCCCUCUUUACCCUUUUCACUACCAUAGUGCAAUAGCACUCUACAACCUUUGAAAUCUAACACAUUUUAUCAUAACUGUUAACUCUUUUAAGCCUUUUUGACACAAUGCUUUACCAUAGUACGAUAUGACCUUUGAUGUCUAACACAUUUAUUUGUUUAAACUUUAAUCAUUUAUCAGUUGCAUUGGGUUCAUUCAUGUGGUAGGAUUUUUGCAGCACUCUUUCCUUUUAUAUAAACAUCAGAGGAAUUUGGUGGCAGAAAGUUGCUUUUUGAUUUUAUGUCAAAUUGUAACUUGUCCCAAUUGAUCAAUAAUGUGUAUGUAAAAACUCUCUAGCCUUUCCACCAUCCCAUACAAAGUAUAGUUUGAUAUGAUAUAAGUAAAUGCUAGAUAUGGAUUUUUAUAUUAACUGAUCAUUGAUAGUAGUUUAGAGGCAAUAGUUGAAAUGCAAAUUUGACAUUUAGUUAAACAGUUAAUAUACUGUUUAAUUCUAUACAUUCCUUUUCAAAAUCACUUGAUAUUGAAAGUAUAGUUGUAUUGACUUCACAUUUAACUUAAAUGCUAUAAUAUUUUUAUUCUUUCAGUCAGAUAGGAUAUUCUAGAUUAUAUUAAUAAAAAUUUAAACUAUUUUUCCUAGAGAGUCACAGAAGCACAGAGAGGCGAGAAUCACCACCUAAAGAUGAUGUACCUCAUAAAGGAAGAAAUAUGCUUCUCUCAGCACUUGUUGCAUUCUCAGCAAUGUUUGGAUAUGCUAUUGCAGCAGGUCUAGUUCAGGUGGACAUGGGAGAGCCACCAGCAGAAGAGGAGUAUGACUAUGAGUAUGAAGAAUAUGAUAGUUCAGGAUCAAAUGAUAGUUAGAAUGAUAAUAUACUAUGUAUUGUGAAUGAGAGUAAAAUUUCUGUACAGCAUAUUUAGUCAUCAGUGUCAUACAAGUGUUACAUAUGGUAGUAAUAAAUAGCAUCAUUUAUAAUGUGACAUCUAGUUCUAAAUUGUAUCACCCUAAACCAAUAUAUUUAAACAAGGAAUGCUGAUGCAGUGUAUCCAAGAAAUAUUUGUAAAUAAUUAGACAUAAAUAUACAUAUAUGUAUGUGUGCUUGUGUGCAUAUGCUUGUCAGGAUGUUGGGGUGUUUGUAAGUUGUUGCAUAUGGAUGUAUGGGGCUGUGUUUGUAAGUGUGUUCACAUAUGUAUUUAAAGCAUAUGUAUAUAAAUACCUGUACAUGUAUGCUUGCAUACCUGCACACACAUAUAUGUAUAUACAUGUAUAUAAAAGUACAUUCAUACAUUUCUUUAUUAUCUUUUAAACUUAGAUGUUAAUGCUCAUGGUAAAAGUGAAGAAAAUACUUACAUGUAUUUGCUAUUUUUAUUUCCAUUACUUUUUUAUCAUUUUUGACUGUGCCAUAGGAAAGAAAUUGUACUUAUUUCCACAAAAUAUUUUUUUGCUCAAAAUGUUUCAGAGUAUGUGACUGUAAUUAAAGUUAUGAUGUAUAUAAAGGACAAAAUAAUGGUAUUCAAGAUGGAGACGCAUAGGGCCAUAAAAAUCAUUCAGGUACCUACCAUGUACAGUGGAUAGGAAGCUGAAAAUAAAUUGUAAACAGAAGUCUUUCUGUACCAGCAUUCCAUUAUUUUCAUAUUUUAGUUGUGAAGUGGAUUUACCAUGCAGUAUGAGCAGUUGAGCUGCACUGUAUAGUAUACAACAUGCUUUCUUUAAAAAAGUAAACAUUUAUUUCAUACAAAUAUAGUAGAAAAGUAUGUCACCAGCAUCUGAUGAAUGGUGGUUUGUAAUGCUAGAAAAAGAGAAUACAUGGGUUUUGGAUUUAUGAG
rnacentral:lncRNA from 1 species